rnacentral:rRNA from 1 species
CCUACGGGAGGCAGCAGUGGGGAAUAUUGGGCAAUGGGCGCAAGCCUGACCCAGCAACGCCGCGUGAAGGAAGAAGGCUUUCGGGUUGUAAACUUCUUUUCUCAGGGACGAAGAAAGUGACGGUACCUGAGGAAUAAGCCACGGCUACCUACGUGCCAGCAGCCGCGGUAAUACGAAGUUGGCAAGCGUUAUCCGGAUUUAUUGGGGUUAAAGGGUGCGUGGGCGGAAUGCCAAGUCAGCGGUAAAAUCGCGGGGCUCAACCUCGCUCCGCCGUUGAAACUGGCGUUCUUGAGUGGGCGAGAGGUAGGCGGAAUGCGUAGUGUAGCGGUGAAAUGCAUAGAUAUCACGCAGAACUCCGAUUGCGAAGGCAGCAUACCGGCGCCCAACUGACGCUGAAGCGCGAAAGCGUGGGGAGCGAACAGGAUUAGAUACCCGUGUAGUC